rfam:TPA: Bos taurus chromosome X, whole genome shotgun sequence.
UCCCUGGUGGCUCAGAUGGUAAAGAAACUGCCUGCAAUGUGGUAGACCUAGGUUCAAUUCCUGGGUUGGGAA